AAACAAAAAUAAGACAAAAACAAGGCCCUAGAAAAAGAACCAGAACAAAAAGAUUAAGACCACAAAUACAUCCACUCCCUACAAAGAUCCAAAAAGAAAACAUCCUCAAAUCCUUUCGACCUAUAAACCCAGGAAACUUAAAAAUGCCAAAGGGAAUUAAAGGGAGCAGAAGGAAAA